UGUGCCACAGCACUGCUGGGCAGGGCCAUCUUAACGCAUGGGGCUGAUGGGCACUUGCCCGUGGGCCCCAUACUAAUCUGUGUAUGUUAACCCUUGGAAAAUAGGAAAACUUCCAAAAGUAACAGUAGUUGUAGUGGUUGUAGAGGCCCCAGUACACUGCUUUGCCCAGGUCCAUAAUGCUGCUAAGAUGGCCCUUCUUAUUAGAACUUAUUAGAAAAUGGAUUCAAAAUAAGAUUACCAGUAAUGUAAUAUUUUGAAUGUUAAGAUUAGACUACUGUAUCAUGCUGUAUAUGAGGCUACCUUGAAGAGUGUACUUCCUUCAUUCCGUCUUGUCAGGCUCCUUAGCACAGGGACCGCAUUUCACCUUUGGAAAGAAGAUGCUGGACUUAGAUGGACCUUUUAGCCUGUUCCACUGGGUUUUUCUUAUGUCAUUACAUUCUUGGCUUCUUCACAGUUGUGCAACAUAUUCAGACUUGACUUUCUCACAGAAGUAUCUUUUUGGAGAGAAGGAAAGCAAUUUUUAAAAUGUAGGUUUGCUGCAGGUCGUUGGGAAUUAAACCUUUUUCAAAUAAUGCAAAUACAUCUAACAGUUCUUUUUGAAGGAUCAGUCCAAUGAAUAUAAUGUGCUUUCCUUCUUGCACUCGCACUAUUUUUUAUAAAUGCUCUUAUAAAACAAGCAAUCUUGCGGUGCUAUCCCAUAAUAAUUAGCACUUGUUGCAGUGACUUCCAUGCUGAUCUUA